AUUGGUCAAUGGGCGGAAGCCUGAACCAGCCAUGCCGCGUGCAGGACGACGGCCCUACGGGUUGUAAACUGCUUUUCUGCGGGAAGAAUAACCCCCUCGUGAGGGGGGAUGCCGGUACCGCAGGAAUAAGGAUCGGCUAACUCCGUGCCAGCAGCCGCGGUAAUACGGAGGAUCCGAGCGUUAUCCGGAUUUACUGGGUUUAAAGGGUGCGUAGGCGGGCGCUUAAGUCAGCGGUGAAAGGCAGCGGCUCAACCGAUGAACUGCCGUUGAAACUGGGCGCCUUGGAUUCGGUCGGGGCCGGCGGAAUGCGUGGUGUAGCGGUGAAAUGCUUAGAUAUCACGCGGAACGCCGAUCGCGAAGGCAGCUGGCCAGGCCGAGAUCGACGCUGAGGCACGAAAGCGUGGGGAUCAAACAGGAUUAGAUACCCUGGUAGUCCACGCCGUAAACGAUGAUCACUGGAUGCCGGCGACACGCUGUCGGCGUCUGAGCGAAAGCAUUAAGUGAUCCACCUGGGGAGUACGAUCGCAAGGUUG
rnacentral:rRNA from 1 species